CAGAAGACCAGCUGAGUUGUCACUGAGCUUUGGUAUCAAGAGGAAUGGCCAGGAUCCUGAGAACACCCAUUUUAAUAAUAUGGCUUCAACUAGGCUGGGUGAGUGGCCAGCAGAAGAAUAAGAGUGGCCAGCAGCAAGUGAAACAGGUUCCUCAAUCUCUGACAGUCCAGGAAGAAGAGAUUUCUACUCUCAACUGUACUUUUGAGAACACAGCAUUUGACUACUUCUUAUGGUACCGACAAUACCCUGAUAUCACGGACCCUGACCCUGCUGUGUACCAGCUGAGAAGCCCUAAAUCCAGUAACAUCUCUGUCUGCCUGUUCACCGAUUUUGAUUCUGAAACCAAUGAGGAGCAAGCCCCAGAGUCCACGAUGAUCAGGCUAAAAAGUACCGUCCUGGACAUGUGGUCGAUGAAUUCCAAGAGCAAUGGGGCCCUGGCCUGGAGCACCAGCACUGAUUUUAAAUGCAAUGAGACCUUCCGUGAGGACUUCUACUCCAGCUCAGACUUUUCCUGUAAUGCCACUUUGAUAGAGAAAAACUUCGAAACAGAUAUGAACCUAAACUUCUACAACCUGCUCAUGAUCGGGCUGCGUGUCAUCCUCCUGAAAGUGGCUGGGUUUAACCUGUUCAUGACACUGCAGCUGUGGUCUCGCUGAGGUCACCAAGAACAUGAGAGCGCCUGGCACUCCCUCGCUCCUGGCUCCCCAGCGUACCUCUUCCCUCUCUUCAAGCAGAGAGGCAGACUGUCUGCUCCCCUGAACAGAUAAGAAGGCUCCCUCUGCCUCUCUGUCCCCACUGGCAAUGGCCACCAGCUGGAUCCCACCAGAUACUCACCAUCAAGGUGCUGAAGAGCUGCCAAACCCUGCCUCUGCCCCCUCGGUUCCCUCAUUGCUGCUUGUCACCACUGGACGCUCACAGCAAAGUCAGGGGGCUGCUGCGGAGAGACUCCCUGUCCCUCCCGAGACUGCCUCUUACAUCCCCUGUCCCCUAUCCUCUGGGCGAGGAACCCCCAGUGGGUCCUCCUGGGCUCUAGCUCCCAGAGAAGGUUGUGAGGAGUCCGUUUUUUAAAAUAAUGUUCAUAAAUAUGUAUACCCUUUUCCCCAAGAUGUGGGGGAAAUUAUUACAGAGACCCUGCUGUGCUGUGUAUCUGAGCAGCGUUGUAUAUCCUGCUACCCUUGACUUCAUUAAAGACAAUUUGGAAGAGCCCAAA